rnacentral:sRNA from 1 species
ACCAGUUGCUCGAUGCCAUCCGGAGCCUGACUAUUGGGUGCUCCAGUUGCUCGAGCCUGAUGGAGCACUUCGAGGACACCAGGGAGAAGAAUGAGGCCUUGCUGGGGGAGCUCUUCUCUAGCCCCCACCUGCAGAUGCUCCUGAAUCCAGAGUGCGACCCGUGGCCCCUGGACAUGCAGCCCCUCCUCAACAAGCAGAGUGAUGACUGGCAGUGGGCCAGUGCCUCUGCCAAGUCCGAGGAGGAGGAGAAGCUGGCGGAGCUUGCCAGGCAGCUGCAGGAGAGUGCUGCCAAGUUGCAUGCGCUUAGAACGGAGUACUUUGCACAGCAUGAGCAAGGGGCCGCUGCGGGCGCAGCCGACAUCAGCACCCUAGACCAGAAGCUGCGUCUGGUCACUUCCGACUUCCACCAGCUAAUCUUGGCUUUUCUCCAAGUCUACGACGACGAGCUGGGCGAGUGCUGCCAGCGCCCAGGCCCUGACCUCCACCCGUGCGGCCCCAUCAUCCAGGCCACGCACCAGAAUCUGACUUCCUACAGCCAAGUAAGGGUGCCCUUCCCCUCCCCUCUAACCGCCCCCUCCCCUGUUCACUCAGACUGAGAGCUUAUAUCCUGCUUGGGCUCAGGGGCCUCAGCAGCCCCUGACAAGGGACCACAGGGCGGGACCAGGGGCUGGGAGGGGCUGGGCUGGGCUCCCUGCGGGCCAGUGGCAUGGCAGGGCUCUGGGCCCCUCAGUGGGCUGGGGAGUUGCUGCUUCUGGUCCUUGGACCUGCCCACCUUAGCAGGCACUAGCUAGGCCCAGAUCCGGUGUGGGGUCCUGCGUGUCCCAGCCUCCAGGUGCUGUUCCUGUGUUGGCCGCACUGUUGUCAUGUUACGCUCCAAAAUAGCAAGGUCCAUUCAUUCUUGUGGAUGACCAAGAACUGUGCCAGACAGGCGGACAAAUGCCUGCCUGUCUGCCCACGAGCCUGCUCAGACAGGAUGAGAGGAAGUGGGCUCAUCAAUGUUUGCUUGUUUCGUUGUUCCACACGUGAGAUCCCCAGAGGCCAACCUAAAAAGCCGGCUUUAGUUACGAUGACUACAGUUCCCAUAUGCGCAACUCUGCCCUUGGCUCAAGGAUUCCGUGAUGUUUAUUUUGGUUUUCUAAGCGAGAGGCUCCGAGCCUUCCAACCUCUGACUGGCUGGUCCUGUGAGACCCCUCGAUCAGGGAUGGUGAGGCCACAGCCCUCUCCUGUCCAUUUUUCUUGGGACAUUUAUUUUCCCCCCUUGCCAAUUGCUGGGGCUGGGAGGACACGCAGUGCUGGCUGGCAUGUCCCUAGGCAUCGAGGGUUGCCAGAGCGACAUGAGAGUGUGGCAUCCCCACUGGGCCAGGAAGAGGGGACUUAGGUCCAAGAACUCUGAUUGGUGACUUCCCCGCUGGGAGUUCUGUCCCUCACUCUUGGCUGUCUUUCGGGUGAAUGCCACCUGAUCAGUGUGAAUGGGGGUGGGAAGCAGGAGAUGCCAUCGCUACGUGAGACCAGCGGCAUUUAGUGCCUGCUCGCUCGCUUGCUCCCUCCCUCCCUCCCCAGCUGCUGCAAGUGGUCGUGGCAGUUGCUGACACCUCUGCGAAAGCCGUGGAGACCGUGAAGAAGCAGCAAGGCGAGCAGAUCUGCUGGGGUGGCAGCAGCUCCGUCAUGAGUCUAGCUACCAAGAUGAAUGAACUAAUGGAGAAACAGAAAGUCUUCAGUGAUGGCCUACGCCAAAGCACAGGAUAGGGGCGGGCAGGAAGCCCUCUCCCAAGAUCGAGUUGGCUGAGGAUGGAUGAUUGUGGCAGCAGAAGCCGUUGCAGCCCCACGUUGUGCUCUAGGCAGGGACCUUUGGCCCGUUUGGGGAGGGAGAGACAGACGGGCGGUUUGACUUGGACACAAAGAAAGCCUUGGUUUCU